CGGGACGGGUGAGUAAUGUCUGGGAAACUGCCCGAUGGAGGGGGAUAACUACUGGAAACGGUAGCUAAUACCGCAUAACGUCGCAAGACCAAAGAGGGGGACCUUCGGGCCUCUUGCCAUCGGAUGUGCCCAGAUGGAUUAGCUAGUAGGUGGGGUAAUGGCUCACCUAGGCGACGAUCCCUAGCUGGUCUGAGAGGAUGACCAGCCACACUGGAACUGAGACACGGUCCAG
rnacentral:rRNA from 1 species